rnacentral:lncRNA from 10 species
UAGGGGAAGUAUGCCCAGCUCUCCAAGCCAAGGGAGGUCCCAGGCCACCACAGCUCUCAUGCUCCCGAGGCAGGAGUUUUUCCUCCACCCACCUUCCCAUCUGGAAGCACCUCCUGGGAAGUGGUGUACAUAUUGUGGUCCCAGGAAUAAGCAGGUGGGCAUAGAAGAGACCAAUAGUAUAUGUGGGCCAUGAUGGCAAGGACCAUAAAGUAAGUGCAGGUGCAGUUUUCAGAUGGUGACCUGAACAUGGCCUCCAGCCAGAAGAUAAGGAUCAAGAAGGGUUAUGCAUGGCUGAUGGACAGCUCUCCACCUGUUAGGUCAUCCCCAGUGUGCAGCUGGAUUGCUGUGGGCUUUUGGGUCAUUGGGCCUCCAGGAGCAGUCAUUAGUGAUGUCCACUCACAGAGUUCAGACCUAGGUACAAAGUUUAGCAGAAAAAGGUGGACUAACUGACUAGGGUUUGGUCCACCCCUAGGUUUAAAACUCCAGAGUCCAGCAUGUCCCUAACCAGAAGGCCACUGGCUGCCCGCCUAAGCUCCAAACUGAUGGAGAACAGCCCCGACCACCACCAGUACCCACCAUGGAAAUUAGGGAACAAUACGGGUGCAGGGAGAGGCAGACCAGGCCGGCUUCCGACAGAAGACUCAGUGUAGAAUCAGUUGCAACAGCCAUAUAAAAGUUAAGAUGCCCUCCCUAGCAACUCACGUGGACAUGAGCCCAAGAAACUAGCACAAAACAUCUCCAGUCAUGCCCCUUGAGAGAAUUAUCAGUGUGUGGUGAGGCAGGCUGGAGAGGAAGUAGCCAAGCAAGGGUAUGGACUUAGCAUAGUCCUAGGUGCAGCCUGAUCCUCAGGGGGCAAUGCAGGGAUUGUCCCUACUUGAGUCAGGGAACUGGGCUUUCCUGGGGCAUGACAUAAUCACUCCCUCUGAGAGGCCCCAGGGCAAUGUCAGCUCCCAUACCUGUGUUCUCUGAGCCUGUGCUCUCUAAGCCUCUGGGCAAAGCCACUCAGUCCCCAAGGUCCAGGCUCAUAGAAGAAAGGGUAGGGGAUGAGGUGAGGACUGGCAGUGGGGAUCCGAGGGCAUCUGGGCGGAGCACUAGGAACUCAGCUUCAUUACCAGGGAGCAUCAGUGAGGAUGAACCCACUUUUGAAUCCCACAUGAAAAACCCAGCACUGUGUGAGUGCACCAAGAACCUUGAGCUCUGUAUGGUUGAAAAGCUUCCUUCUGAAGUUGGAGCUGGUAGUUGUUGAAUACAGGGUGCACAUGGGGGCUGAGGAUGGUGAUGAACUACAGUGGUGGCACAUGUGGGAUUGAUUGAUCUGCCAGCUCAGCAUUGAUCUGUGAGCUCUGCCCUGGUCUUUGCCAGCCAAGCUGGAGGGCCUUCAGCCUUAAGGGAAGUCCCCCUUCUUAUCCCACCACACCCUGCUGCCCUGAUAUGGAGAAUGGCUACUUAGGUAGGAAACCCUAGAAUGUGAGAUGCAACAUCCUAGCCCCUUUCCAUGGGGCAGGGGGUAUGGGUCCAAGCCAGGAGGGUCCUAGGACAGGGUGUUUCCUACUCAGGGCAGCAGGCCCUUCUGUAAUUGAGAGACCCGGGGUCAGAGUCACAGAAACGAAACGAAACGAAACAGAAACAAAGAUGGAACCUGAGACCCGGAAGCUGGAAAAGACACUCUGGGGAGGGCCCGAGGCAUGUCUCAUGACUAAAACACAACACUGAAGGCACAGGGGAUGCGAAAGGAACAGGAAGAACAGGAAAAGUAAACAACCAGAAAGGAUUCCUGGGAAAAUGCCUGAACACUGAGCUAUGAUGAUGACAAAACUCAUAGACAGACUUGCUCCACUUAAACUAAAGGCACAAAAUAAUGUUUGUUUUUUGGGUAUAUUAAAUGGAUCUUUACUUAAUUUCUGAAAGGAAGCUGAAAAUAUAAAACUGCUAUACUUUUCCACCUGACACUGAAUAUUAUAAUGAAAUCUCUGAUUGUGAUAUAUCGAUGAUAGAUAGAUAAUAGAUAUAGAUAUAGAUAUAUACAGACAGAUGAAGAACUGUUUUUCAGUGUAUUUAGCUAUGUAAGUACACCUUGAUGCCUGCACGCCAUGGGAUUUCACAGAGAUGUCUGCCUGGCAAUCAGCUCCCAGCAGGAUGCUCCUUAGAAGACUAAGCGUUUGCCUUGGCAAGAAGCCUUUGGACAUUCAGCCCGGUGUGCGAUUAUGCCAAAGUCGAUCUAAAGCUGAAAAACUACUUGGAAAUAAUAAAGCAAUCUCAACACAAGGCUUUACAUAGUGUGCCUGUGAAGGUCUGUGAUCAAAAGCCUUGAAUUUCAGCCUUGUUUCCGGAAUGUUGUCAUAAAUGUUAGUCGACAAUCUAUAGAACUGGAAGUCUUUCAUUUCUCAGGCACAGGGACCUGACUCAUGCUUCUCAAGCACACUUAUACCUCUGUCAACCCAUCCAAAGGCAUCUCACCUUAAAUAUAUUUCUGAUUAAGAGAUGGGGGUUCAGGCUGGGCGCAGUGGUUCAUGCCCGUAAUCCUAGCACUUUGGGAGGCCGAGGCAAGCAGAUCACUUGAGGCCAGGAGUUCAAGACCAGCAAUGGUCAACAUGGUGAAACUCCAUCUCUACUAAAAGAAACAUACAAAAAUGAGCUGUCUGUG